rnacentral:lncRNA from 1 species
UCUAAAUUAGUGGGGAUCUUGAUUCACAAUCUUUCAGGUGAAGUCAUGUGUGCGUGAACUACACCCAAAAUGGACCACGUUAAUGCUUUUGCGGCGAAGGCCUUUGCGUCUUUCAGACUCUCUGCUUCGCCUUAGAAAUUGGUUUCCAAGACAUCAUAGUAUGAAGGCAUCGUAUUACUGUUAUUCAGAAACAAUAAGGGAGAGAGAAAAGGGGUCACUUAUUUGUGCAUUAAUCUUAGAUUCUCAUUAUGUGCUCUCCAGAUUUAGAUCUUGCUGUUUUCAUCAUGCUCUUCGAGAGGCUAAUAUAUUGUUCAUUUGCUCACUUAGCAUGGGUUUCUUAAAGAAUCUGAUCGAAUUGGGGGUGGAAGAAGCACCACCUUGCCUUGCGGAGCAGCUGCUGAAAGAUUGCCGGUCAUCAGAGGAGGAGCUCGCAGGUUUGUGAGAUGGAAGUUUUGGUCGAUAGGUGAGAGGCUUUCUUUCCCGUCGAAGGCUGCAGAUUUGUUUCAGUGGUAGCUCGUUGUCUCCAUUAUAUCGGUUGGCUACAUUUUUUCCGUCUUUUUAUUUUUCGGGCUUUCCAUAUCAUAUAUGGAUAAUUCAC